UACGGAGGAUCCGAGCGUUAUCCGGAUUUAUUGGGUUUAAAGGGUGCGUAGGCGGCCUAUUAAGUCAGGGGUGAAAGACGGUAGCUUAACUAUCGCAGUGCCUUUGAUACUGAUGGGCUUGAAUGUAGUUGAGGUAGGCGGAAUGUGACAAGUAGCGGUGAAAUGCAUAGAUAUGUCACAGAACACCAAUUGCGAAGGCAGCUUACUAAAGUAUGAUUGACGCUGAGGCACGAAAGCGUGGGGAUCAA
rnacentral:rRNA from 1 species